rnacentral:misc_RNA from 1 species
GUGGCUAUGCAUCUAAAGAAAGCUAAAGGAAUAUAUGGAGAAACAGAGCAUAUGCAUGAAAGUUGAAAACUCAAUAUCACUAGUAAUCUGCACAGUAUCAUACAAACAAAUUUCCAUGUACAAUAACUUAUAAUAAGUUCUCAGAUUUUCUUUUUCUUUUUCAUUUUUCAUUAGUGGUAUAAAGGGGAAGCAAGCAGUCAAUUCCAACCAUCAUAUUGUUUACUAACCCUACGCUUCUUGAAGAGCGACCUUAUAAACAUCAAACACACAAUUAGAAACAGGAAAGCUGCUAUUCCUCCAACUGCAAUGGCCACUGUCCUCGAUGUGUGCUGCUUUGUCCCUACUACCUCUUUACCUGAUCCUGAAUCAAUGGUGGGCACUCCAUUUGGGUAGUAGCUAUAGCUAAUAAAGCACUUGAGGAGAUAUACUUGCCCAGAAACUGAAUCACCACACUGAGUUUUCACACUCUCUACAGCACUUUUCACACAAUUUCCACAAUCAUCACUUGACAAAUCACCUUCACAUUGGCCCAAAACAAAGACCGUCUGGUUAUUCCCAGUGUAAAAACCAUUUUUUAAACCAUUCACCAUAGAAUCAAAGGCAGCAGUCCUCAUCCCCUCAAACCCAGUCCCAGUAGCCUGAGUUGACCCACAAACCUUGAAUAGCAACUCAGUCUCAGAGACCUGCUUAAAACCCGAAAUCUCAUACUUAAGAUAACACCCAUUUAGCUGAACCCUGGCUGCUAUGACUUGGCCACAGAGUUUUUUAACCAUGUCUGGGAUUUUGCUGACACAUGUGUAGCACUGUGGUGUUGUGAGAUCGCCUCUGCAUUGGUAUAGCCCAACUAUGGCAUUUUGGCCAUCCCCAGAAGUUGUUGUGGAGAAACUUUUCUGUGACGAUUGAGAAACUAAAGACUCCAUGAGGUUUUUGAGGUUUUGAGAGUAGAUCCCAGACGGGUCUUGGAAUUUUUGUUGUGCACAACCUUUGAAAACCAAAUUUGUGUAAUCUGCAGCACCGGUAACUAACACAAAAAUCCCAAGAAUUGUGAUCAGAGGCAGGUUAAGACAUGGAAGGUAGAGAGCUCUUAUUUGUAAACCCAUUUGGGGAUAUACGGUGAAAUUAUCGGUUCCAGAUCACUGUUUGGGGACUUCUAGAGAUGGUUUUGUCUGAAAUGAUGAAAGUAGAUUUGGGUUUAGUUAUAUAGGCGGUGUGAGGUGUCCUUGUGGGAGACGUGCCUUUAUUGGGGUGGUUUCUGUGUUCU